rnacentral:misc_RNA from 1 species
GAUGAAGAACGCAGCGAAAUGCGAUAAGUAAUGUGAAUUGCAGAAUUCAGUGAAUCAUCGAAUCUUUGAACGCACAUUGCGCCCGCCAGUAUUCUGGCGAGCAUGCCUGUUCGAGCGUCAUUUCAACCAUCAAGCCCCAGGCUUGUGUUGGAGCCCUGCGGCUGCCGCAGCCUCCCAAAACCAGUGGCGGGCUCGCUAUCACACCGAGUGCAGUAGUUUACUCUUCGCUCAGGGCGUGUGGCGGGUGCUAGCCGUGAAACCCCCAACUUCUCAAGGUUGACCUCGGAUCAGGUAGGAAUACCCGCUGAACUUAAGCAUAUCAAUAACGGAGGA